UUAUUCUUGCAGUCACGCCUGGACGCGACGGACAGGUUCGCUCAGCCACUGUAAAGACGACGACUGGAGUUCUACACCGCCCAACCUGUAUGCUGGCAAAGCUAGACAUAUUGUGAAUCACGAGCGUGCUUGAUUCACGGUGGUGGGGAUGUUGUCGAGAAAAAUUAGCUUAUAUAUACUUAGUUUUAAGCAAGGGCACAGAUACCCUACAUAAAGAAAAAAGAGAGAAGAAAAAUGGCAAUACUAUGAAAAGACAAGAAGGUCACAUUAGUUUGAGCAGUCGAAGAAAGAGCGGGGAGAAAAGACGAAGCGAAAUAAAACGCAACCAACGCCUAAGUACCUAUGAAGAUAA